GCGUGUGCCAGGAUGGGAUUCCCUGAGGAGUACAUCUGGAGCUGAGAAUUGGAGUUUGCUGGAGUGUUCACUGAAUGAGGGGUGGGAGGAGAGCCAGCAUUCAUACUGAAAGAGAAACCCACUGGCAGGAGGACACAGGGCAAGGUAAGAAGAGCUGUCCAAGAAAGGAAUUGCUAGAGGCUUCAUGGAACAAGUGGGAUGUAAGAUGCAUCUUCAAGAGUGAGUGACAUUUUGGCAUGGCAUUUGAGAGGUGACAAUCCAGAGGCUAUGAGCAACAGCCCCAGAUGGGAAAGCACCAAGGAGUGAAGAAGCUUACGAGCAAAAAGUAUUUCUUAGUUUUGCAGUUUCUAAAUGUAUCUAUGUUCUGCCCCUUUAAUCUCUAACAAUAUGAUUUUGAACUAAUUAAUAUAAAAUUAAUCCAUACAUUAGCUAAAGUAGAUAAUGACUUAAUGACUUCCACAUCCCAGGCAAUAAACUUUUGAAAAUGCUUCUAGCCCGCCACAUAAAAAUCUGGCAAAAUCAGUGAAAGAGAAUUUCAAGGACUGUUUUUCUUUUAAUUUAUAUCUCAAAGUAAUGGUGUACCAGGGAAAAUGUCCAGAUUCUAGUUCUGCACUACUUCAGAUCAGAGAUUUGCAGUAGGGAGAUUUGGCUCCCCAGGGGGCAUCUGGCAAUGUCUGGAGACAUUUCGGGUUGUCACAACUGGUGGGGGGUGCUACAGGCAUUAAGUGGGCAUAGGCUGGGGAUGCGGCUGCAUAGAACAGCUCCCACAACAGAAUUAUUCAGCCAAAGAAUUAUCAAUAGUGCCAAGGUUAAUGCACCUUGUUUUACACCAAGAAAUAACCUUUAAGACUGACCUUCUCAAAUCCUUAAUUUUGCAGAUGUUAUGUGUAACUUCCAAUAUAUGAAAUAAUUUGCAUGCAGCUGGCUAAUUAACAGUAUAUGGCCUGGGACUCAGGCUUUAUAGACCAGUGAUUUUCUUUCCUGAUGCAUUAGAUGUCCUGUGUGUUUUAUAUCGAAUGGCCAGCAUAUUUUAAUGCUGUCAGCUCUUAAUUCCAACACAGAGAGGAGUUACUAUAUAGAUGCCAAUUGCAUAGGGAGGAAUAUAGUUUUGAGAUCGGGCUUCUGAUGAUCCAGGAAGGGAAGGGAAGUAGGGGUUGCCCCAUCUCUGGGGUCUACAGCAACAUCACUGGAGCCCCAGAUGGGGCUGACCAGGAGCAUCAGUGUGUGAAGACCAGUCCAUGAUGCUGACACUCUUUAAUUAUGAAAGGAUGAAUAAUCUAGUUCUGCGUUCUUUCAGGAGACAAGGGACUUGUCCAAAGCAUGAACACUUUAUAAACAAUUUAACAAAUGUAAACUGUGAAAGAGAAAGACAAAUGUGUGAAUAUGAAAACUAGGGUCCCUGACAGGCCCACAGCCUCCAAACCCCUCCCUUCACUUCAGAAUGAAAGAAUCCUUCUGUGCCUGCAGGGGAGUGGGCCGUGGUGGGAGGAGGCUGGACCUGGGGUUGCGAGUCUGUGAAGGGCCCUAGACCCUGGCCUGAGUAAUGCCACUUACUGACCAUUUCAAUUUGGGCAAGACAUUUUCAUUCUCAGGGCCUUGAACUCCCCACCUAAGAAAUGAUGAAACCUGAGUCAGAGCUUCAGUAUUUGAGUUUAUCUUUGAGAUCAGGUUUAAGAUGCCUCAUUUUCCAGGUGAAGAAAUUAAAGUUUGGAAAAGUCAAGUUAUCUCUUGCAGGCCACAAAACUAGCAAGAGAACAAAGGGGGCAAUUGAUCAGAUUUUAUGCAAUAUCAAUGCUUGGGAGAAGAGGCUUGAGGCUUUAGGAGCAUUAGGGGCUGCAAUGGCUUUGGUCCCAUGAUCAGUAGCAUUCAUUUGCCCAUCCUCUCUGAAGUUCACUAAAGGGACCCUGUGUAUCCCUCAUCUGGCUUCCUCAUGCCUGGACCCCCAGAUGGGCAUCAUUUUUAAACCCAUGAGGCCUCAGGAUGGUGGCUCCUUCUCUCAUCAGCUACUCCUUCAACACUGGAAGGGAGCUCAUUCCAGACACAAUCAUAGAAAAAAUCACUCCAGCUAGGAAAAGCCAGAUGGACACCAAGAAAAGGCUAAUGUUUCACCAUGGCUGAACCACCUCACCUCACAGGGUGUCUUGUUUAGGGAAAUGAGAUUUUCAAACAAAGAAUCAGGAGCAGGUAAAAGCCACAAAGAAUCAGAUGAGAGAUACACUCAUUAGCAAACUUCCACACUGUCCA
rnacentral:lncRNA from 1 species